rnacentral:rRNA from 1 species
CACGUAGGGUGCGAGCGUUGUCCGGAAUCAUUGGGCGUAAAGCGCGCGUAGGUGGCUUCGUAAGUCCGCUGUGAAAGUCAAAGGCUCAACCUUUGAAAGCCGGUGGAUACUGUGGAGCUAGAGUCCGGAAGAGGCGAGUGGAAUUCCUGGUGUAGCGGUGGAAUGCGCAGAUAUCAGGAGGAACACCAAUAGCGAAGGCAGCUCGCUGGGACGGUACUGACACUGAGGCGCGAAAGCGUGGGGAGCGAACAGG